AUAGAUGUCAACUUGCGCUCGACAUUUCCACCUCACCUGAGCAAGAUGUCGCCAAAUUCAGGAGAUGUGCAGCGGGGAAACUGGAAAAAUUGGUGGGAAUUCCUGUUUUCUUCUGUUGGAUGUCUUGUUGGCCUAGGGAACAUCUGGAGAUUUCCGUACAUCUGUUUCAGAAAUGGUGGAGGUGCCUUCUUGUUGCCGUAUUUCAUAUUCAUGUUUCUAUGUGCAAUGCCGAUGAUGUUCCUUGAAAUGACGGUUUCACAGUAUUCGAACCUCGGACCUGGCAGAGUUUGGGUUUGUUGUCCAUUGUUCAAAGGUAACAACUGCAAUUUACUGCGUAUUUUACGUCAUUUAACAUGGAAUACAUUAUCAAGUUUGAAUAAAUAGCAAAAUACUUAAGAUCUUUUGGCUCGUGCAUGAUGCACUAUUUCUCGAUGUACAGAUGGCAUCAUUUUCGGUUUCGAGGCCCUUGCUUUUUACUUACUGUAUGAGACAAGACAUCUAGCCAGGCCUUGUGCAAUAUUUAUUUUCAAAUGAUAUGUUGCUGCUUUAAAAAAAAUCGAGAGAGAUCUAUAUAAAAUCAUUAUGGUAGAACUAAACUUAAUCAAUGGGGAAGACCCAUUAUUGCAAUAAUAAAAAGAGGUGCCAUGUCAUGAAGGAUUCAGAGUUAACCUUAAUAAGUGAUGCCGUCUCGCUGCUGCACUGGUUGUUGUAAAGAACGAAUUGCUACUGUUGUUAAAAUAGAGUUUAUUCUCUCUCAGGAAUCGGGUACGGGAUGAUAGUAUUGACGGGUAUAGUAAGUAUCUACUACAACGUAAUUCUGGCAUGGACAUUGUACUAUUUCGGAAUGUCUUUUUCCUCCGAUCUUCCAUGGACUCGAUGCGACAAGGAAUGGAAUACUGAUACUUGCAUCAUACGAGGAAUGAACUACACACCAGCGCUGUUCAUAAAUAACUAUACAGAGAAGAAAAAUGUUAGUUUCGAGGCCGUAACUUUUCAUCAACAUACAUCUGCAGAGGAAUUUUGGGAGUAAGUCAUGUGCUAUGCACGAAUUGAAUAAUUUCAUGCAUCAACAGUGUUGUUGCGUAGAAAAUAAUACAUGGACAAUUUUGCAGGAGAAAUGUCUUGGACAUGUCUGACGGGAUUGACAGUCCCGGACACAUCCGGUGGCAACUUCUACUUUGCCUGUUGGCUGCAUGGUUUGCCGUAUUUUUAUGCUUAUUCAAAGGAAUUAAGACUUCAGGAAAAGUAGUGUACGUCGCAGCCACCGUUCCGUAUCUUUUCCUUUUGGUCCUACUUAUUCGAGGUCUGGUAUUCAACAUCGAUGGAGCAAUCAAGGGCCUGAAAGUAUUUCUAAUACCACGUAUGGAGGAUUUGCUGAAAUUCGAUGUAUGGUGUGACGCCGCUGUCCAGAUGUUUUACUCGGCAGGGUUAGGCUGGGGAGGUAUACCCACACUAGCAAGCUAUAAUUCAUUUAACAACAACGUAUUCAGAGACGCAAUGAUUUUACCUAUUGUUGAUGUUAUCACAAGCGUUUUUGCCGGGUGCGUCGUUUUUGUGACGUUAGGAUUUAUGGCGGAAGAAGCCGGUGUCCCCAUAGAGAAUGUCGUUGACAGCGGACCAGGGAUCGCCUUUGUUGUGUACCCCGAGGCAGUUUCUAAGCUUCCUCUUCCCCAGCUAUGGGCAGUUCUAUUUUUUCUCAUGCUUUUUACUGUGGGUCUUGACAGCCAGAUGGUUCACGUUCAAACCCUGACAGGCGCCCUUCUGGACAAUUUCCCCAAAGCUUUACACAAAUGGAAAACUGCGUUAACGGGUAUAUUAUGUUUGCUUGGAUUUCUACUCGGAAUUCCAUGUAUUACACAGGGAGGUAUCUAUGUACUAACGUUAAUAGACUGGUACUGCGCAAGUGUGUCCGUCAUGCUCUUAACCUUCUUGGAAGUAGUGGCAUUAGCUUGGUUUUAUGGAGUGAGGCGAAUUUACGAAGAUUUGGAAAUUAUGAUUGGACACAGACCAAGUGGGUUGUGGCACGUUAUGUGGCGCUUCGUGACCCCGAUAGUUAUCCUGAUAAUUUGGCUGGUCAGCUUGAGUCGGUACUCGGAGGUAGAAUAUGGGACCUACAAGUACCCAUCACAUGCUGUUGGGAUCGGAUGGAUGAUCGCCAUACUGUCGUUAAUCCUGAUACCAGCUGGAAUGAUAUCAUCCAUCUCGAAGACAGCUGAUGCCUCAACACCCCUCAUAGAGCGACUUCGGGUUUCUGUUCAGCCAACAGACGAGUGGAAGCCAGCCAUUCGUCCCCCACCAGGGGAUGUAGAGAUGAGCAAAACUCUUAUCUUCAAUGGCAUGACCUGAUAGACCGAUAAAGGAGCUCUAGGCAGGACAUGAAUUUGUAAUUUGCGAAGACAAAGCUAACAUCGACAUAAAAUAAUGACCCAUGCAUAUUUUUUUUAGAUAAAAUUGACCUUGUUUAUAAUACCACUUGUUCGUUUCAGCUUGAAAUAUUAACAUGUACUAUUAAAAAUAAUUCAGG
rnacentral:misc_RNA from 1 species